rnacentral:rRNA from 1 species
UCGGAAACUGGGAAACUUGAGUGCAGAAGAGGACAGUGGAACUCCAUGUGUAGCGGUGAAAUGCGUAGAUAUAUGGAAGAACACCAGUGGCGAAGGCGGCUGUCUGGUCUGUAACUGACGCUGAGGCUCGAAAGCAUGGGUAGCGAACAGGAUUAGAUACCCUGGUAGUCCAUGCCGUAAACGAUGAAUGCUAGGUGUUGGAGGGUUUCCGCCCUUCAGUGCCGCAGCUAACGCAUUAAGCAUUCCGCCUGGGGAGUACGACCGCAAGGUUGAAACUCAAAGGAAUUGACGGGGGCCCGCACAAGCGG